GGGCACCUGGGAGCUGUGAAUAAUACUAAUAAUAAUAAUAAUAAUACUGUGAAGCAACAGUAUUCUUUGCAGGGCCCUGGUGAAACUACAAUUCCCAGAAUUCCACAGAGUUGAGCCAUGGAAAUUGAAGUGGUGCCUAAUUCCCACUAUUGCCUCAAAGCAUUGGAUGGCAACAGGAGAAAAGGGCUGUUUGGGGUCACAGUUUCCACAAAUCCCUCUCAAAAAACACUCCUUUGAGGCGUUGGCUUGCUUGUGCAUUUAUUUAUUUACCUGAUUUUCACUCAAGACUACUAACAAAAGACAUCACAGUGCAGCUUAAGACAAUGUAGAUGCAUUUGAAAUAUAAAUACGGAAAUUACAAAAUGAAUGGUUUCUGUUGAACUUGGGGUGUGAACCAUCUUCCCUCAAGGAAGGAGCCUUGGCUGGGAAUCUUGCCUCCAGUCGGCGGCCAUGUUGUCCCUCCUGAAGGGACCGAGGAACAAGGAAGGGCCUCAAGAUGGCGCCCCAGAAAGGCCCUGGCCCUUCCCCAUUCCUUGCGGGAGGGUCUUUUCUGAAAGGCCUUCACAUUGGAGAUGUCAGAGAACUCCUGAGUGGCAUACACAUCUCAGGACGGCUGAGUGGACAUUGAAACCUACACACAUUAGACACAGAAAGAACCCUUCUUGGAUAUGCAUACGGUAUUCCCAUCUAAAGCCAACCUUGCUCCUUCCCAGCCACAGAGUCCUAACUGUUAUCAUCUGAAUUCAAGGAGCAUUUGACAUGACCAACCAUUACUAGCUUCAGUCAAAAUGCACAGGUAAAUAUAAUGCCCAUAAAGAGGAGAAAUAAAAAAACUGUAUGCUUUUCAUGGGACAUCCCGACUCCUCAAAACGGAUUGUAUUUUAAAUGGACACAGGCCUAAAACAUCCUUGCAUAGACCUCAAUCAAAAGGGACAUUUGACUAGUUUUUAAGAUGAAUUUCAGAAGUUGGGCGGGGAGAUGAAACAUAACAACAUUGUGCUUGUGUGUCUGAUGCAGAAUCUUGGUCAACUUUUCCAAAUUUUCUAUCUACUUUCUAUUCGAACUUGUUAUUUAUGACUUGUUAGCAAAAAAAGGGAGAGCAGAAGGAAAAUAGUUAACCAGAAAGCAUCAAGUCAGUAUUUGCUGAUAUACAUUCCUGAUCGUUGUUCCACUCCAUGGGGUUAAAUUAGCAUUUCUUCUGAUAUUAGUACAUGUGUGCAAGGGGAAAAUAAAUAUGUUAAACACUGCUGUA